CCUACGGGAGGCAGCAGUGAGGAAUAUUGGUCAAUGGACGAGAGUCUGAACCAGCCAAGUAGCGUGAAGGAUGACUGCCCUAUGGGUUGUAAACUUCUUUUAUAUGGGAAUAAAAUGUUCCACGUGUGGGAUUUUGUAUGUACCAUAUGAAUAAGGAUCGGCUAACUCCGAGCCAGCAGCCGCGGUAAUACGGAGGGUCCGAGCGUUAUCCGGAUUUAUUGGGUUUAAAGGGAGCGUAGGUGGAUUAUUAAGGCAGUUGGGAAAGUUUGGGGCUCAACCGUAAAAUUGCAGUUGAAACUGGCAGUCUUGAGUACAGUAGAGGUGAGCGGAAUUCGUGGUGUAGCGGUGAAAUGCUUAGAUAUCACGAAGAACUCCGAUUGCGAAGGCAGUUCACUGGACUGCAACUGACACUGAGGCUCGAAAGUGUGGGUAUCAAACAGGAUUAGAUACCCCAGUAGUC
rnacentral:rRNA from 1 species